GAUGAACGCUAGCUACAGGCUUAACACAUGCAAGUCGAGGGACCGGCGCACGGGUGAGUAACACGUAUCCAACCUGCCCCUUACUCGGGGAUAGCCUUGCGAAAGGAAGAUUAAUACCCUAUCUAAAGGUUUGGGAUGUUUUCCAUUAGGUGGUUGGUAAGGUAACGGCCCACCAAGCCUUCGAUGGAUAGGGGUUCGGGUAGGAAGGUCCCCCACAGUGGAACUGAGACACUGUCCAAACUCGUACGCUAGGCAGCAGUGAGGAAUAUUGGUCAAUGGUCGGUAGCCUUAACCAGCCAAGUAACGUGAAGGAUGAGGGCUUAUGGGUCGUCAACUUCUUUUAUAUGAGAAUCUGUAUUAUAUGAAUAAGGAGCGGCUAACUCCGUGCCAGCAGCCGCGGUAAUUC
rnacentral:rRNA from 1 species